GGGAAGGAGGGGGAGGAGAGAAGAGGAGGUGGAAAAGGCUUGGGCUCGCGCCGCUGAAGUCAGCUUACCCGCUGGCCGCCUCCUGACAAGCGGGAGGGAUCCGCCGUGGACCCAGGGAAGCGGAGGAGCCUGGCGGCCACCCCCUCUUCCCCACUUCCCUGCACUCUCAUCGCUCUCGGCCUCGGCCUCGGCCUCCGACACGAAAAGGAACCAAAUGAGCUGAUGGAAGAUCUGUUUGAAACUUUCCAAGAUGAGAUGGGAUUCUCCAACAUGGAAGAUGAUGGCCCAGAAGAGGAGGAGCGUGUGGCUGAGCCUCAACCUAACACCCCUCAAGCUCUACGGUUUGAGGAACUACUGGCCAACCUACUAAAUGAACAACAUCAGAUAGCGAAGGAACUAUUUGAACAGCUGAAGAUGAAGAAAUCUUCAGCCAAACAGCAGAAGGAGGUAGAGAAGGUUAAACCCCAGUGUAAGGAAGUUCAUCAGACCCUGAUUCUGGACCCAGCACAGAGGAAGAGACUCCAGCAGCAGAUGCAGCAGCAUGUUCAGCUCUUGACGCAAAUCCACCUUCUUGCCACCUGCAACCCCAAUCUCAAUCCGGAGGCCAGUAGCACCAGGAUAUGUCUUGGUCUUGCUCUUUCACCCAGGAUGGAGUGCGGUGGCACAGUUUCAGUUCACUGCAACCCCUGCCUCCUGGGUUCAAGUGAUUCUCCUGCCUCAGCCUUCCAAGUAGCUGGGACUACAGGCAGGCACCACCACGGAAAGAGCUGGGAACCUUUGCACAAAGCUCCAUCGCCCUUCACCAUCAGUACAACCCCAAGUUUCAGACCCUGUUCCAACCCUGUAACUUGAUGGGAGCUAUGCAGCUUAUUGAAGACUUCAGCACACAUGUCAGCAUUGACUGCAGCCCUCAUAAAACUGUCAAGAAGACUG
rnacentral:sRNA from 1 species